CCCUUAGAUGUCCGGGGCCGCACGCGCGCUACACUGAAGGAAUCAGCGUGGCUUUCUCCCUGACCCGAAAGGGUUGGGAAACCCGUUGAAUCUCCUUCGUGAUAGGGAUUGGGGCUUGAAAUUGUUCCCCAUGAACGAGGAAUUCCCAGUAAGCGCGAGUCAUAAGCUCGCGUUGAUUACGUCCCUGCCCUUUGUACACACCGCCCGUCGCUACUACCGAUUGAACGGUUUAGUGAGGGCCUCGGAUGGUCUCGGCCCGCUCUUUACCGGGCGGCGCCGUUGGUCGAGAAGACGCUCGAACUUGAUCGUUUAGAGGAAGUAAAAGUCGUAACA
rnacentral:rRNA from 1 species